rnacentral:rRNA from 1 species
AAACCAACCGGGAUUGCCUUAGUAACGGCGAGUGAAGCGGCAAAAGCUCAAAUUUGAAAUCUGGUACCUUCGGUGCCCGAGUUGUAAUUUGUAGAAGGUAACUUUGGGGCUGGUCCUUGUCUAUGUUCCUUGGAACAGGACGUCAUAGAGGGUGAGAAUCCCGUGUGGCGAGGAUCCCAGUUCUAUGUAAAGUGCUUUCGAAGAGUCGAGUUGUUUGGGAAUGCAGCUCUAAGUGGGUGGUAAAUUCCAUCUAAAGCUAAAUAUUGGCGAGAGACCGAUAGCGAACAAGUACAGUGAUGGAAAGAUGAAAAGAACUUUGAAAAGAGAGUGAAAAAGUACGUGAAAUUGUUGAAAGGGAAGGGCAUUUGAUCAGACAUGGUGUUUUGCGCCCUCUGCUCCUUGUGGGUAGGGGAAUCUCGCAGCUCACUGGGCCAGCAUCAGUUUUGGCGGCAGGAUAAAUCUUCAGGAAUGUAGCUUGCCUCGGUAAGUGUUAUAGCCUGUUGAAAUACUGCCAGCCGGGACUGAGGACUGCGACUAUUAGUCAAGGAUGCUGGCAUAAUGGUUAUAUGCCGCCCGUCU